GACAGAGGGUGCAAACGUUGUUCGGAAUUACUGGGCGUAAAGCGCGUGUAGGCGGCCGUGCAAGUCGGAUGUGAAAUACCUCGGCUCAACUGAGGAAGUGCACCCGAAACUGCGUGGCUAGAGUCCCGGAGAGGAAGGUGGAAUGCUUGGUGUAGAGGUGAAAUUCGUAGAUAUCAAGCGGAACACCGGUGGCGAAGGCGGCCUUCUGGACGGUGACUGACGCUGAGACGCGAAAGCGUGGGGAGCAAACAGG
rnacentral:rRNA from 1 species